CGGGGCGUGGCCUAGUUGGUAAGGCGCAUGGUUUGGGACCAUGAGAUCCUGAGUUCGAGUCUCAGCGCCCCGA
rnacentral:tRNA from 2 species